rnacentral:misc_RNA from 1 species
GAUGAAAAACGUAGCGAAAUGCGAUAAGUAAUGUGAAUUGCAGAAUCCAGUGAAUCAUCGAAUCUUUGAACGCACAUUGCGCCCGCCAGCAUUCUGGCGGGCAUGCCUGUUCGAGCGUCAUUUCAACCCUCGACCUCCCCUUGGGGAGGUCGGCGUUGGGGACCGGCAGCACACCGCCGGCCCUGAAAUGGAGUGGCGGCCCGUCUGCGGCGACCUCUGCGUAGUAAUACAGCUCGCACCGGAACCCCGACGCGGCCACGCCGUAAAACACCCAACUUCUGAACGUUGACCUCGAAUCAGGUAGGACUACCCGCUGAACUUAAGCAUAUCAAUAAGCGGAGGA